rnacentral:rRNA from 1 species
UGUUGUAUUUACUAUCUAUAGAUGGGAAGAUAGUGGCGAAAUACCUUUCGCACUGGUUGAUAGCUGGUUAUUCUGGAAAUAUAUUUAAGUAUAGCCCCUUUUAUUGAUGAAAUUUACCGUUUUAAGUUUUUAAGUGUUUUAUAUUGUUUUGUGAGGGAGACAGUCUCUCCAGGCUAAGCUGGUGAGAUUAUUUAAAAGGAUGGUUGGUGAAUAAUAAAAAAGUUAAGAAGUGGGCUUGAAGAAGCUAUCUUUGUAGAGUGGGUUAAACCACAAAUGAGCUUUAUAAUAAUAAAUAAAAUUUUACUUAUCUUUUUGUUGUACGGAAUUUCUCCACUAAACUGUUUUUGUGGAGGUGAUAAUGUAAAGAUGAGUAGUCGAGAGGUUGUAGUUGUUUUAUUUUCAGGGAGAGAAAUAUAAAAGUUUUUUUCUUAUUGUUAAAAAAAGUUAAAGGAACUCGGCAAAAUUGGGGACCGCCUGUUUAUCAAAAACAUGGCUCCUUGAAUAUCAUGAGGGGUCGUGCCUUCCCGGUGA